rnacentral:rRNA from 1 species
GUAUAAGCCUGGGGAGUGGCGUAAAGCCGAGAACCAGGUGAAAGCGCGAACGGCCGCCCGUACGGGUGGUUCGGCUGAUCCCUGGAGCCCAUGAAAAGGACGCGGGGAAGGACCUCCGGAGACCGUGCCAAGAACCGACACAGGUGCCCCUGGGUGAGAAGCCCAAGGCGUCUGGGGUCACUCCAGGGCGAGGGAACUCGGCAAAUUAGCCCCGUAACUUCGGGAUAAGGGGUGCCUGAGGCCUUGGCCGCAAGGCUGGGGCCUUAGGUCGCAGUGACAAGGGGGUCCUGACUGUUUAAUAAACGGGCAAGAUCGCUUGAUGAGGAGACGGUUUGGAUGCUUACGUCUUAGGCCUUCUGUACGGCGACGGUAGCUGCAUAAAAACCAAACGGGGCGCGUAUGCGAUUUGGGUCGACCAAGUAAAAACCAAGGACGAUGAAGUGAUAACUUACGCCGCUAAAAAGUUGACCGAAAUGGGCUACAAGUUCACGAUUUAUCAAUACCGCUCAAAGAUGGAUGGCAAAACAAGAAUCCGAUUACAUCUAUAUUCAAAGAAUGUUUAUGAGAGGUUGCGAAGCUUGAGAGAAAGGCCAUCAGAUUUUCUAUCGUCUUUGAACACGGACCAGUUUCUGGAUUUUGUCGCCGGUUUUUUCGACGCGGACGGCACCUUCACUUCGAGAUUAGUCAUUUACAACAGAAAUUAUGAUAUUCUACAUUUCAUCCAAGAAAAGUUGAAUGACCUCCAAAUAAAUUGCAGAAUCUACAGAUUUGGGAAAGUUUUCGGAUUACAGAUUCAUAAAAAAGAUUCAAUCUUAACUUUCUGUAAUUUGAUGUCGUCUCCGAAGGCGCGUUCUGCCCGGUUGAAAAACAUAGGUAGCCGCGAGACCGAAAGGUUUUGAACGGCUAUCGAAUCCUGGCCAGUGCGGGUACUCGAAAGCCGGGUUCAACCGGCAUAAGGGCCCGUAAACGCCGGGAGUAACUCUGACUCUCUUAUCGGAGGCUUGGAAAAGCCUUCGGGAGAUAGGUAGCCAAAUGCCUUGUCGGGUAAGUUCCGACGUGCAUGAAUGGAUCAACGAGGGCCCCGCUGUCCCCGCCUGGAGCCCCGUGAACCCACGUAACGUGGGCGAACAGUCCACGAACACCCAACGGGGAAAGAAGACCCUGUGGAGC